UUAUAUCAUUAGAUCAUGGACCUUCAUAUUAUAUGGAUAUUGACAUGUUGUUAUAGCGGCAGAUGGAUGAUGUUGUGUAGCUUUUCCCUUGAUAUUUUUUUAUUAUAUUUUGCAUGAAGUUGAUGUAAAAUAUUGAUUUUAUGAUCCUUAUAAAAAAAAUAUAUUGAUAUGUUUUCACAGUCCGCUUGCAUGCAUGGCACCAUCUAUCUGCCUUGAAACCCCCUUGGCUUAUGUUCCUGUCAUCCGCUUUUUAAUACAUUAGUUAGAACAAGAAGCUGAGUAGAUAAGUACUAAAUACAUCUUCAUUUAUUUAGAGGCUUCAUAAUCUUUUUUAUAAAGUUUAAUUUUUUUGGAAAGGUAGAAUAUGGAAUGUAAUUAGAGAGUAACAUAGAAUGUAAUUAGAGUCAUGAAUAACUAUUUUAUAUUUAUGAUGUAAUUAAAGAGUAAUGUAGCUUGUAGUAAAUUAUUCAUUAAUAGUUGUGCAUAUUUUCUUACAUUGUAUCUAUAUUUUUAUACUUUAAGUUUUUAAUGUUUUUAAUAUAAACCCAAUUCUUCUGGUUGACUUGGUGGUUGGACUAGUGACCUUAGAUCAUCUAGAUGCAUAGGUCUACCCAAAAAGAUGUCCAAGUGAUUUUUUGAAGCAAAGCAGGAUCAAAUACUAUACGAUCAGUAGUAGCAGCCUCAAGUUUUUCAAACAGAGCACCAGAAAUUAAGCUGGGGAUUUGAGAAACUGUAGACCCACCUUUGACCACAUGAGCCUAGGGAGCAUUCUCUGUAGGUUUAACAGCAUGACUAAAGGAUUGGCUCCAUCAUUCCUCUCUGAAGGAUUAACCUUGGUAGGUGAUGACAUAACUUCCUUACCCUUAGGCUAACAGCCUAACUUCCAAAGUCGAACCAUGGGAUUUUUGCAAGGAAAUACCCGAAUCACCCUUCUCCAUGUGUUGUUUACUCAGCUUGGAUGACAAUGCAUGGUUGCUGGAAGCAUCCUCAUUGCCCUUGGAACCCUGGAGCCCUCGGACUUCGCAGAGCUCUGAUUUCUCUAUCCAUUAGGAAGCAGAAAAGUAUACGGUAAUUGCGCAUAUGGCACAUGGAAGCAUUUUAUACCAUUAAGGAGUCUUUAAAAAAAGUUUGUGGGUCGCACUUAUAGUGUCCUAUUUCAUACGACGCCAAAAAAAAUCAACAAAGACUAAGAACUUGUUUCUCUAGGGACUUCUUGUCUUUCUUUCUUCAA
rnacentral:lncRNA from 1 species